CAUAAGAGACUACACCGUUUUUUGCUGGAGGGCUUUCAGAAGAAAAUAUAGAUCUCUCUUUGUUAGCCCGUUUAGGUGAUUCUGACCGCGAAUAGUGAGAUAAGGACCUGCUCCUACUCCGACGCGAACCCCGCCUUUUGGCAUGAGGUGAUGCACGGUACCUUGUUGUCUUCAUGGGAGACCGCGAAUGAGAUAAGGACCUGCUCCUACUCCGACGCGAACCCCGCCUUUUGGCAUGAGGUGAUGCACGGUACCUUGUUGUCUUCAUGGGGGACCGCGAAUGAGAUAAGGACCUGCUCCUACUCCAACGCGAACUCCGCCUUUUGGCACGAGGUAAUGCACAGUACCUUGUCUUCAUGGGAGAUCUACUGAGACUCCGACGUCGAUU
rnacentral:lncRNA from 1 species